rnacentral:lncRNA from 1 species
AAUUGGUUUUUCUAGAUCACAAAACCCUUGAGUUAAGAGAGUUAUUAUACAUUCAUAGUCCAAGCACAAACUCUCUUUUUACAAAUCUCACUCAUUCCCAACUUUCCCUUUUCUUCACAUUGAGCUUUUCUUUUCAUGCUUUGCUUUUUCUAUCUUUUUCAUCUUUUCUCAUGCAUUUUCUUUUCAACUCAUAAGCUCAAUGCCUAACUUUUCUUUUUCUUUUUCAAUUCUCCCAACAACCCCA